UCUUGGAACAGGCUCCGUGCCCACGCUGGU
rnacentral:piRNA from 1 species